CCUACGGGAGGCAGCAGUGAGGAAUAUUGGUCAAUGGCCGGAAGGCUGAACCAGCCAAGCCGCGUGAAGGACGAAGGUGCCAAGCAUUGUAAACUUCUUUUGUCAAGGGACAAAAUCAGGCGCGAGAGCCUGACCGAGGGUACUUGAAGAAAAAGCAUCGGCUAACUCCGUGCCAGCAGCCGCGGUAAUACGGAGGAUGCGAGCGUUAUCCGGAUUGAUUGGGUUUAAAGGGUGCGUAGGCGGACUGUUAAGUCAGCGGUAAAAGCCCGGGGCUCAACCCCGGCGAGCCGUUGAAACUGGCUGUCUUGAGAUGUCGAGAGGUAUGUGGCAUGCGCAGUGUAGCGGUGAAAUGCUUAGAUAUUGCGCAGAACUCCGAUUGCGAAGGCAGCAUACCGGCGCUCAACUGACGCUCAUGCACGAAAGUGUGGGUAUCGAACAGGAUUAGAUACCCGAGUAGUC
rnacentral:rRNA from 1 species